UACAGAGGUCUCAAGCGUUGUUCGGAUUCAUUGGGCGUAAAGGGUGCGUAGGUGGCGCGGUAAGUCGGGUGUGAAAUCUCGGAGCUUAACUCCGAAACUGCAUUCGAUACUGCCGUGCUUGAGGACUGGAGAGGAGACUGGAAUUUACGGUGUAGCAGUGAAAUGCGUAGAGAUCGUAAGGAAGACCAGUGGCGAAGGCGGGUCUCUGGACAGUUCCUGACACUGAGGCACGAAGGCCAGGGGAGCAAACGGG
rnacentral:rRNA from 1 species